rnacentral:lncRNA from 1 species
UUCCAAGCCGGUUCCAUGUUGUCAGCACGGAGCCCAACACAGGGCUCGAACCCAUUAACUGUGAGAUCAUGACCUGAGCCGAAAUCAAGAGUCGGACACUUAACUGACUGAGCCACCCAAGGCACCCCUUGUUUGUUUUGUUUUUAGUUCCUGGUGUUCAAGGAAAUCUCUGUCAAAACUCCGUGGAGCAUGAGCUAAAGGAACAGAGACAUCAGUGACUUCAUGUGAGUUUAUGUUCAUUUGCUACAGCAGCAGUAGGAAGCUAACGCAGCGCUCAUUGAACGUUAGCUCUGGCCAUUGGGGAGGAACUUCAGCUCCAUGUUACCUGUGGUCAGUGUGUUCAGUAAAUACUGAUCACAAUAAACAUAAUGGAUACGAGAACUCGCCAGAAGCGGUAUAGCAGGAGGUCUGUUCCUUUUCUGCUUAACUGUUGGUAUCGGAAGCAUCUGAAAGUACUUUGUUCAGUUUUUUUUAAAAAUCUGUAAUUCUGAACCAGUUACUUUAUUCCGCGGUGCAGGCCUGAUUCCACACUUUGGCGAAAGUUAGUAAUUUUUUAACAGGUAGAGGCGGCGGUGAAAUGGAACACACCUCAGGUCGGAAGUCCGAAAGUUGGGCUCUGGUCUCAGCUCCACCUCUAUCUGGCGGUGUGACUUAGGUCAUCUUGCCUCCUCUCUUUGGGUUUUGUUUUCCCCAUUCAGAAAAUGAAGGAAUUAGAUCAAUAAUAACUCCCAUGUGUCAAAUGCCUGCAAUGCACAAUUUAUACAUAUGGUCUCAUCUGAGCCCCAUAAAAACUGUGCAAGGUAUCAUCCCCAUUUUAUAGUUGAGAAAACUGAGAGGCCCAGAGAGGUUAAGUGACUUUCCCAAGGUCACAGAGUAUCAGGCAGAGCUGUGAUUUAAAACCAGGACUGUUUGACUCGUUUUGAUAAGCCCCUCUACCUUUCCACGUUUUGGAGGUCGACACUGUCUUCACAGAACAUGCUUAUGAGGCACCUGCUUUUCUCCGUACAUCAUAGUGAGGAUGAUGGGUCUCUCUAGCUUCCCACUUGAGGGGUCUGGAACCUGGUCCAUCUCUUGUGUUUCUGAGAACCUCUGAUUCAGCCCCUCAGAGACUUCCCUCACAACCAUGUAUCCCUCCUCUCACCUCUAACAGACACUACGAGGUGCUGAACCAAUGUCUGGCCUCUCCUUUUUACUUAGUAACAGAAUCCUAAUUUUGUUCGAAUAAAAUGUACCCACUUAAAAAUACCUGCCCGCAUUCCCUUGCAGGUGCACCCUUACAGGUGGUCCCCUGACCCAGCUCUGACCAAUGAGAUGUAAGUGGACGUUUGGGUGGGGAUUCUUGGGAAUCUAUCUUCUUCAUACUAAAAGGUGGGAGAAGUCAGCAAGCCCAAGGCACAAAUUGCCUUUGUUUUCAUCCUCGCCUGGAACGUAGGUGAGGUUUCUGGAAGUGGAGCAGCCAUCUUGUGACUAUGAGGGUGAGUGCCACCUGCUAAGGAUAGCAGAGCCGGAAGACCGAAGAAACUUCUUUGUCAUCGGUCCUCUGUACCAGCCUGGAUUGCUAGACUUCUUGUCACAUGAGAAAACUAAAGCUUUAUUUGGUCAGAUUUCUGUUCUGUCAACUUCAUACCAUCCUAA